rnacentral:rRNA from 1 species
CCUACGGGCGGCAGCAGUGGGGAAUAUUGGACAAUGGGGGCAACCCUGAUCCAGCCAUGCCGCGUGUGUGAAGAAGGCCCUCGGGUUGUAAAGCACUUUCAGUGAGGAAGAACGCCUGGUGGUUAAUACCCAUCAGUAAAGACAUCACUCACAGAAGAAGCACCGGCUAACUCCGUGCCAGCAGCCGCGGUAAUACGGAGGGUGCGAGCGUUAAUCGGAAUUACUGGGCGUAAAGCGCGCGUAGGUGGCUUGAUAAGCCGGUUGUGAAAGCCCCGGGCUCAACCUGGGAACGGCAUCCGGAACUGUCAAGCUAGAGUGCAGGAGAGGAAGGUAGAAUUCCCGGUGUAGCGGUGAAAUGCGUAGAGAUCGGGAGGAAGACCAGUGGCGAAGGCGGCCUUCUGGACUGACACUGACACUGAGGUGCGAAAGCGUGGGUAGCACACAGGAUUAGAUACCCUAGUAGUC